rnacentral:tRNA from 1 species
GGCUCAGUAGCUCAGUUGGUAGAGCAAUGGACUGAAAAUCCAUGUGUCGGCGGUUCGAUUCCGUCCUGAGCCACCU